UCGAUAGAGGCGCGGCUGACAUCAGUAGUUUCCUCACCAAUCAGGGAGGGGGUCUUGAUUUAAACCCUGGCCGGAAAUGAAAGGGAAAGCCGCCGAGGAGCCGAAUUCAUCAGCCCCCGUUCAUUCGCAGCUCCGGGCCGCGGGAAUAAGAUCCUUCGGACUGUCGCAGAUUAUGCGGAGCGCUGUC
rnacentral:ncRNA from 1 species